CCCUUAGAUGUUCUGGGCCGCACGCGCGCUAUACUGACGGAGGCAGCGAGCGUGUCCUUCGCCGGCAGGUGCGGGCAAUCUUGCGAGUCUCCGUCGUGCUGGGGAUAGAUGGUUGCAAUUGUCGAUCUUGAACGAGGAAUUCCUAGUAAGCGCGAGUCAUCAGCUCGCGCUGAUUACGUCCCUGCCCUUUGUACACACCGCCCGUCGCUACUACAGAGUGCCCGUGUCCAAGAAACGGUCGGACCUGUGCGGCCUCUCCGGGCGACCGGAGGGCCGUUACGGGGAAGACCCUUUAUUUGACGCGGGUCGAUGAAGUAAAAGUCGUAACA
rnacentral:rRNA from 1 species